rnacentral:rRNA from 1 species
UACGUAGGUGGCAAGCGUUAUCCGGAUUUAUUGGGUGUAAAGGGCGUGUAGGCGGGAGCGCAAGUCAGAUGUGAAAACUCAGGGCUCAACCCUGAGCCUGCAUUUGAAACUGUGUUUCUUGAGUGCUGGAGGGGCAAUCGGAAUUCCGUGUGUAGCGGUGAAAUGCGUAGAUAUACGGAGGAACACCAGUGGCGAAGGCGGAUUGCUGGACAGUAACUGACGCUGAGGCGCGAAAGCGUGGGGAGCAAACAGG